GGGACACCGAGCCCCGCCCUAGUUCUUUCCUUGGGCAGGGUGGGGGACGGACUUCUUUUCUCCGGUGGCAGUGGAGGAAUCGUCCCGCUGAACAAAGGGUUGUGAACCCGCCUGGCGAUGAGGCCUGGUCUUGUGGAAACAACUUAGCCUCGCGGGGCUGACAGCUCUGGCACAGGGUGGUAUGUAAUUUUGAGUCGGCCUGGGACAGGGUCCAGGCCAGACCCCUGGUCGGUGGUGAGGGUGGUCUGAGGAGUGAAGUAAGGUGCCAUCCUAAGCGAUUACUGUUGUGGCGCCUGAUGUGUCAGGCGGGGGCUGCUGAAGCAGGAUGUUUGUGGACCAAAUUGACCCACGGUUUAUUUUCCAGGUGGCAGUGCUCCCCUUUGGACUUUUCCUCUAGGUUCGGUGCUAACCUCUCCUGUGAACUCACUCUGCCCCUCCUCCUCCUCCCUUUAACUCUCUCGAGAUUAUCCAUUCACUUAAAACCUUGCUUCUGGUAAUCUGGUAAGCCUGGGAAAGUGGCCGAAGUUGCUGUUGGAGUCGGUAUUGUUGGUAAUCUUGGAGGAAAGGCUCUCCCUGCUGAGACUCUGGGUGGGAUGGGUUGGUGUUGCUGGCUGGUGGAGAGGGUGGGGACUGAAUGCACCCUUGGGUGGGCCCGCAGCGAUCGUACCAGCUGAAAGUUACCAAAGUGCUUCAUGGACCGUGGUUUAUUGCUGUAGUGCUCAUCAUGGCGAUCAGAUGGCACCAGGAGAAAUGGAGCCCCUGGCCUGUGUGAGUCGUAGCAGUGCAGGAGGGGAGACCCUGAAGGAGAGCUGCCUAAAGUGAUGCCUGCAGAUUUAAUUUCCAGAGUCUUAGGAGGAGGAAGUUCUCCAAUGUCAUGGUUCCAGGCCAUGUGCUGAAAGCCCUGUAUUCAGGAGGCCAUCGUUUAAGGUUUUCAGACUGUCCCCUUUGAGGGGACAGUCUUAAAACAUCCAAAGCAGAUGCAUCCGGGGCCACCAAGCAGAUGUGUUUAUUUGAAUGUUGAUCCGGGAGCUCCAACCUCCAGGCACAUGAAUGGCCGCAGGCAACCCUCCUUUUCUGGGUGGCGGUUUUCAGAUGCUGCAUCUUCUUAAUUGAGCCUCCUGUCAUACUAGUUCUGUGCUACGAACGUUGCUUCCAGAAGAUUAAGCUAUAGAACAUUUUAUCGUUGAUGCCGCAACGCAAAGUGAUGCCUUGUAGAUGGAACUGGCAGAAGGAGCCCCGUGACCCUCACCCACCCACCCACCUGCCGGCCUGCCGACCUGUCUUUGGUUGGAGGAAUUCUUAGUGUGAUAAAAACUGGGGAAAUGUUUGUUUGAAAUGCCUUAGGCAAAUACUUGGAUGAAGUACAUGGUGGGAAGGGUCAUUGUGUUGGUGCUGCAGUCUGGAGGGUACAAGUUGGUCAGGCCCAAAUUUUGUUACAAAUGUCAGGUCUCCUUUGGGCAUUUUGACUGCAUUGCAGAUUACUAAAAGAAGAAAAUAUGUUGGG